GGGAGAGGCGCUCUGGCUCAGACAUCUGCCACCCUGUUGAUCACCAGGACUGAUGCGGCUACUCUGGUUCAGCGAGCGUCCUCUCGUCCUCUGCUUCCCUCGUGCUACCUGGGCCCGGCCCUUCCUGGCUGUGCACUGGGUCAAAGACUGACCUCCAGUGAAGAGGACCAUUCAUUGGCCGAGCCGCUAUGAGUCACUGGCUGCGUGGGUUUCCUGCUAGAACCUCUGGAGAAGCUCUCACAGUCCAAACAGGGCCAUCAAAUUACAAAUACACUGAUUUGAUGAGU
rnacentral:sRNA from 1 species